rnacentral:tRNA from 1 species
GCGAAAGUGGCGAAACUGGUAGACGCCCUGGACUUAGGAUCCAGUGCCUUCGGGCGUGGGGGUUCAACUCCCCCCUUUCGCACCA